UCUCGCUUCCUGCUCUCCCUUCAACCAAGAGGCUCCAAUAAAGUGUGAUUUGAGAAGAAUCCUCGACUUCGUGGUCAUUCUUCCUUGCUGGUCAAGGGGUGCACCACAGUCUCCAGGAAGAUAAUGGCACCCUGCAACAACAAAUCCACCUGGAUUAUGGGGCCAACAUCAGCAACAAGCUACUCACCCUGGAGAAGAGCUGGGGGAGAGAGGCCACAGGCACCCAUUGCAUCAGACUGUGACUUCAGGAGGGGAACUGAGCCGCCCUGGGAGUCCCUCUGCUGGAGAGCAAAGGGAAAGCCAAAAGAAAAGAAAGGCCACAGGAGAUAAACAAACACAGGAGAGAGCCACACCAUGCGUUGGAAUGUGGACUUUAUCCAGAGGAUAUGAAAACACAAGUAAGGCUAUUACUUGCUAGUAGAGAAAGCAAAACAAAUGACUGGAGACUCGGGAGGAGGGGAGUUUCAAUUUCACGUACAAAGUCAACCUGAUCUCUGAAUUAAAACAUUGUUAUUGGUUCA